rnacentral:lncRNA from 1 species
CUAGUCUUUAAAAAAGUAAAAAAGGGGGAUAAGCCACUCCAAAGAAAAAGUUUAUGACAUAUUAAAUAUUCACAAUCGCCGGUUAUGUGGCUUGAAACAGUUGUUGCUGGUAGUUAGACCGAGGUCUGGGGGAACAUGAUCCUGGACCCCUGGAGUUUAUUUAGCCGCCACCCUCAACCAAACCAAUCUCUCAGCUGCGGAACACGAUCAAUAUCCGCUUAAUUACCUUUAGAUAAGUUUUUUUCAUCUAUUAUUAAUUCAGUUUUACUAGUAGUUUCAGUGGUAGUCAUGGUGUGACGCGCCUCAGCUACAAUCUCGGACAUAACCACUAGCCAACAUUGCAAAGUUAAUGAUCAUUGACAAAACAAAAUUUUGUCCCCCUCCUCCCCCCCCCCCUCCCUCAAGUUCAAUGUCGACAUGUCGUAAACAACGCCGAAACAACCUUUGGUAAUUUACCAUGACACAAGCUCAACAACGGUUAUUUAAUAAGCGCAACAUGAUUCAACAUGGAAUUUAUCAUAAGGGGUGUGCGAAUUUUGUAUAGAGGGAAAAAUAGUCUCAACCAGUUGUGUCCAAGAUUGUAGCUGUGAAUUAGACAAUUACAAACGAAAUUAGACAAUUACAACAAAAGUGAAUUAGACAAUUACAAACACUCCCAACAUCUUGUUGUUGCAGGCCGUAAAAACAAGGAUCUUCAAUUGCCUUCAAGCGGAGGACCUCUGACCUCAUGAUGACCUCUCCAAAAUACUGGAGUCCAAAUGUAAGAGAAUUGUAAGAGAAAUGGUAGGUCGAUCUGGAUAUUGCAACUUAAAAUUACUUUACAGAAAUUAAGGAGUCGAGAUGCAAUCUUUCUAGGUCUUAAUAAUUCAAAUUUAAUGGCUCAACCGUAACUAGCCUUCAGAUUUUCUAUCUUCUAUAUAUAAACGCUUCCUUCCCAGAGGCCCUAACAGAUCGAGAGUUUCAGAUUUGACUUUCGCUCCUGCUACCAUUAAGGGACCAUUAACCAAUCAGAUGGUUUGAUAUAUCCGAUUAACCAAUCAAAUGCGUACUAAUUAAGCUAGUGAGAGGCAGGGAUUCCGGAAGUUGCUGAGGGCAAGGAGUGCAAUUGGUUAAUAAGAGGGCAUACUCCUUAACAAAAGGGCACCAAUGAAAAUGAAAGGGCGUCAAGAUCCUACAUUCGUGUCGACCUCCCUCCCCGCCACCAAAUUUUUUCGGACCGAAUACAAUUAUUUAGCCACAAUUCCUCCGUAAUUUCUUGCCAAAAAUUCCAUAAGUAAUGCUUUCCGUUUCACCUUUCGCCAAAUGGAUAACAACUUUGCCGAAUUCCUGACGACUGGGGGGUGGAACACCCCCACACACUUCCUCGAGCAACGUUUAAUUCUGUCUGUUGUAAAAGUUUUGUGAACACGUUACACCCAUAGUCUGCACCCACACUGCACCCACACAGUUGAAAAUGCAAUAGGCAAGGGGUGCACUUGCACCCGCUGCACCCGUGGUUCCGGCAUCCCUGGUGAGAGGUAGUGGUAUAGCCGUAAUGGAAGUCAAAUCUGAACCUCUCUAAUAUAAAGCUGUCCUGUUUCUGCUCCAGGUCGUUGGAGUAAUCUCGCCCACUUUGCGGGAAAAUGGUCGACAGCUGCAUUAUCAUUCAUGAUGAUUGAUGACCUUGUUUCACUCAGCUCAAGUCUCACAAGUCGGUUGUAUAUUUAAAGUUUUCCGUUCUGUUGCUUCGUUUUCGAGAUAUUUCAGUUAGUUUGAUAUACGUGUCAACUGGAUCCUACGUCACAAAGUGCAUAAUGAUUUGCUGAAAAUGUUAUUUAUUCUUGUUAUUAUACACUGUACGAAAU